rnacentral:rRNA from 1 species
UUAAGUUAUUAAGGGCGCACGGUGGAUGCCUUGGCACUAGAAGCCGAUGAAGGACGUUACUAACGACGAUAUGCUUUGGGGAGCUGUAAGUAAGCUUUGAUCCAGAGAUUUCCGAAUGGGGAAACCCAGCAUGAGUUAUGUCAUGUUAUCGAUAUGUGAAUACAUAGCAUAUCAGAAGGCACACCCGGAGAACUGAAACAUCUUAGUACCCGGAGGAAGAGAAAGAAAAUUCGAUUCCCUUAGUAGCGGCGAGCGAAACGGGAAGAGCCCAAACCAACAAGCUUGCUUGUUGGGGUUGUAGGACACUCUAUACGGAGUUACAAAGGACGACAUUAGACGAAUCAUCUGGAAAGAUGAAUCAAAGAAGGUAAUAAUCCUGUAGUCGAAAAUGUUGUCUCUCUUGAGUGGAUCCUGAGUACGACGGAGCACGUGAAAUUCCGUUGGAAUCUGGGAGGACCAUCUCCUAAGGCUAAAUACUCUCUAGUGACCGAUAGUGAACCAGUACCGUGAGGGAAAGGUGAAAAGCACCCCGGAAGGGGAGUGAAAUAGAACCUGAAACCGUGUGCUUACAAGUAGUCAGAGCCCGUUAAUGGGUGAUGGCGUGCCUUUUGUAGAAUGAACCGGCGAGUUACGAUUUGAUGCAAGGUUAAGCAGUAAAUGUGGAGCCGUAGCGAAAGCGAGUCUGAAUAGGGCGUUUAGUAUUUGGUCGUAGACCCGAAACCAGGUGAUCUACCCUUGGUCAGGUUGAAGUUCAGGUAACACUGAAUGGAGGACCGAACCGACUUACGUUGAAAAGUGAGCGGAUGAACUGAGGGUAGCGGAGAAAUUCCAAUCGAACCUGGAGAUAGCUGGUUCUCUCCGAAAUAGCUUUAGGGCUAGCCUCAAGUGAUGAUUAUUGGAGGUAGAGCACUGUUUGGACGAGGGGCCCCUCUCGGGUUACCGAAUUCAGACAAACUCCGAAUGCCAAUUAAUUUAACUUGGGAGUCAGAACAUGGGUGAUAAGGUCCGUGUUCGAAAGGGAAACAGCCCAGACCACCAGCUAAGGUCCCAAAAUAUAUGUUAAGUGGAAAAGGAUGUGGCGUUGCCCAGACAACUAGGAUGUUGGCUUAGAAGCAGCCAUCAUUUAAAGAGUGCGUAAUAGCUCACUAGUCGAGUGACACUGCGCCGAAAAUGUACCGGGGCUAAACAUAUUACCGAAGCUGUGGAUUGUCCUUUGGACAAUGGUAGGAGAGCGUUCUAAGGGCGUUGAAGCAUGAUCGUAAGGACAUGUGGAGCGCUUAGAAGUGAGAAUGCCGGUGUGAGUAGCGAAAGACGGGUGAGAAUCCCGUCCACCGAUUGACUAAGGUUUCCAGAGGAAGGCUCGUCCGCUCUGGGUUAGUCGGGUCCUAAGCUGAGGCCGACAGGCGUAGGCGAUGGAUAACAGGUUGAUAUUCCUGUACCACCUAUAAUCGUUUUAAUCGAUGGGGGGACGCAGUAGGAUAGGCGAAGCGUGCGAUUGGAUUGCACGUCUAAGCAGUAAGGCUGAGUAUUAGGGAAAUCCGGUACUCAUUAAGGCUGAGCUGUGAUGGGGAGAAGACAUUGUGUCUUCGAGUCGUUGAUUUCACACUGCCGAGAAAAGCCUCUAGAUAGAAAAUAGGUGCCCGUACCGCAAACCGACACAGGUAGUCAAGAUGAGAAUUCUAAGGUGAGCGAGCGAACUCUCGUUAAGGAACUCGGCAAAAUGACCCCGUAACUUCGGGAGAAGGGGUGCUCUUUAGGGUUAACGCCCAGAAGAGCCGCAGUGAAUAGGCCCAAGCGACUGUUUAUCAAAAACACAGGUCUCUGCUAAACCGUAAGGUGAUGUAUAGGGGCUGACGCCUGCCCGGUGCUGGAAGGUUAAGAGGAGUGGUUAGCUUCUGCGAAGCUACGAAUCGAAGCCCCAGUAAACGGCGGCCGUAACUAUAACGGUCCUAAGGUAGCGAAAUUCCUUGUCGGGUAAGUUCCGACCCGCACGAAAGGCGUAACGAUUUGGGCACUGUCUCAACGAGAGACUCGGUGAAAUCAUAGUACCUGUGAAGAUGCAGGUUACCCGCGACAGGACGGAAAGACCCCGUGGAGCUUUACUGUAGCCUGAUAUUGAAAUUCGGCACAGCUUGUACAGGAUAGGUAGGAGCCUUUGAAACGUGAGCGCUAGCUUACGUGGAGGCGC